rnacentral:lncRNA from 1 species
AUGCUUGGAGAAACGCUGUUAGAUCCACAGGGUGCUGUGAGUUCAGUCCUCAGAACCUUCAGGAGAGAAGAGGUGCUUCUUGGAGGUAGGGGUAAAGGAAGCUGGACUUCAAGCCCCUGCUGUUUUUCCCAUGUGGGGCCCUUUGCAUCGGGCUUUUCCCCUCUCCUGGCUCUGGGAUCCGCUUCCUUGCAGGAGUGCGGAGCUGUGCCUGUCGCCACGGGUCCAGCUUCCCCUCCGUGUUCAGGUUCAGCUUCAGAGCCCCACAUUGUGCCCCCCUGGCCGGGUCUCACCGUGCCGACGGCCCCGCAGUGCUCAGGGCGGCCCCGUGGGCACUCGGCUCGACCGGGGAGAGGGCGCUCGGCGGGAGCGUGGAAGAGGGCUCCCAGUCAGUGUGCAAGCACCAUUGUUUUGACACCGAGGCAUAUGGUGCCGUCAAAAACAGCAAAAAGAAACCCCACAGCAGAUGCUGCAAAGGCAGAAAGCUGGCAAGAGACAGCCAGGCCUGCAAAAUGCCUGCUUCGCCGGCGCUGCGUGGUGAGCCAGCAAGCGGGGAGCUCGCCGGGGCUGGCUCCGUGCACGCCGGGACCGUUCCACGUCCCUGACCCACUGCAGGCCAGCGGUCCUGCCCUGUGGACCUGUGCAGGUGCUGAACAGCCAGGCUGCUGCGGAGGUGUGAGAGCAGGAUGGGUUUGUGCAGCACAGCCAGGGCCCAGCCUGCUUGUGUCUGAUGCAGGGGCUCUGGCUCUUGUCUGGGGAUCCUUAACUGCACGCCUGUCCUCUGCUAGCCAGGGCUUACCCUGCUGUAAAACUGCUGCUUGGGCAGGGAGGGGUUUUCUUGCAGACAAAACGAGUGUUUCAGGGGCCUGUGAGUACAGAGGAUUUGGCCUCUGGUCCUUCUGGUCCUUUUGGUCCUCCAGCCUGGCAGGAGCAGUGCAGGACCGCUGCUGGCCCCUGUUUUUUUGGCUUCCUUUUUGGAGGCAGCCCCUGCACCUCCUGGCAGGGUGGGGACCCACUCAUGUACCAGCCCUUCCUCCUCUGCACGAGCAGAGCAAAUGCUGCCUUCUAUAA